CAUGCAAGUCGAACGAAGCAUUUGCGACAGAUUUUUUCGGAAUGAAGUUGCUUAUGACUGAGUGGCGGACGGGUGAGUAACGCGUGGGUAACCUGCCUUGUACUGGGGGAUAGCAGCUGGAAACGGCUGGUAAUACCGCAUAAGCGCACAAUGUUGCAUGACAUGGUGUGAAAAACUCCGGUGGUAUAAGAUGGACCCGCGUCUGAUUAGCUAGCUGGUGAGAUAACAGCCCACCAAGGCGACGAUCAGUAGCCGACCUGAGAGGGUGACCGGCCACAUUGGGACUGAGACACGGCCCAGACUCCUACGGGAGGCAGCAGUGGGGAAUAUUGCACAAUGGAGGAAACUCUGAUGCAGCGACGCCGCGUGAGUGAAGAAGUAAUUCGUUAUGUAAAGCUCUAUCAGCAGGGAAGAUAGUGACGGUACCUGACUAAGAAGCUCCGGCUAAAUACGUGCCAGCAGCCGCGGUAAUACGUAUGGAGCAAGCGUUAUCCGGAUUUACUGGGUGUAAAGGGAGUGUAGGUGGCCAUGCAAGUCAGAAGUGAAAAUCCGGGGCUCAACCCCGGAACUGCUUUUGAAACUGUAAGGCUAGAGUGCAGGAGGGGUGAGUGGAAUUCCUAGUGUAGCGGUGAAAUGCGUAGAUAUUAGGAGGAACACCAGUGGCGAAGGCGGCUCACUGGACUGUAACUGACACUGAGGCUCGAAAGCGUGGGGAGCAAACAGGAUUAGAUACCCUGGUAGUCCAC
rnacentral:rRNA from 1 species